rnacentral:rRNA from 1 species
GUGGGGAAUUUUGGACAAUGGGCGCAAGCCUGAUCCAGCAAUGCCGCGUGCAGGAAGAAGGCCUUCGGGUUGUAAACUGCUUUUGUACGGAACGAAACGGUCCUGGUUAAUACCUGGGGCUAAUGACGGUACCGUAAGAAUAAGCACCGGCUAACUACGUGCCAGCAGCCGCGGUAAUACGUAGGGUGCGAGCGUUAAUCGGAAUUACUGGGCGUAAAGCGUGCGCAGGCGGUGCUGUAAGACAGGCGUGAAAUCCCCGGGCUCAACCUGGGAAUUGCGAUUGUGACUGCAGUGCUGGAGUACGGCAGAGGGGGAUGGAAUUCCGCGUGUAGCAGUGAAAUGCGUAGAUAUGCGGAGGAACACCGAUGGCGAAGGCAGUCCCCUGGGCCUGUACUGACGCUCAUGCACGAAAGCGUGGGGAGCAAACAGGAUUAGAAACCCGAGUAGUCC